UACGUAGGGUGCAAGCGUUAAUCGGAAUUACUGGGCGUAAAGCGUGCGCAGGCGGUGAUGUAAGACAGGUGUGAAAUCCCCGGGCUCAACCUGGGAACUGCAUUUGUGACUGUAUCGCUGGAGUACGGCAGAGGGGGAUGGAAUUCCGCGUGUAGCAGUGAAAUGCGUAGAUAUGCGGAGGAACACCGAUGGCGAAGGCAAUCCCCUGGGCCUGUACUGACGCUCAUGCCCGAAAGCGUGGGGAGCAAACAGG
rnacentral:rRNA from 1 species